AAGGCGGACGGAUGUGGUGGUAAAAGGCCGCGCUGGAGGGCUGGAGGUUAACUGCUUCGGUGCCAGGUUGAAGGGAGCUGCUGUAUCCGGCACCGCGUUCCCCAGGGCUGGGGCGGCGAGAGCAGAAUCCCGGGGUCCUUGGGUGCCUCGCCCUCGAGGGGCAGCCCUCCUUGGCCGCCCAAACCCGUCGCCCCGGUGCCUGCACUCUGGUUCCACGCUUCCCCGCAGCAUCACAAAUUUCAAGUUUCCUCCCAAUAUAAAUCUUCACUGCUUGGGCAAACGUUGGCAUCCGUGUGUCUGGGUCUGACACCACGAUCCCCACACCCACCCGACGGUCGGAGAGCACCCCCAUCUAUUCGGAGAGGGCACUGGGUCCCAGUAAGACAAUUGGGCCCAGUUCUGUACCCACCCCUAAAAUGCAAAUCUCCACAAAUACAAAUAAGGACAUCACUUUUUCUUAAUAAAUUUAUUCACAAAAAGUGAGAUUGUAACAGGGUCUGGGGGCUGUACACGGUCAAGGGCCUGGGGAGCUCUGUACAUGGGAAUGGGAGACAAGGGAGCCUCCAGGUGGAAGUGUAGUUUUUAAUAAAAAAAAUAAUGGGAACUACAAC